AAAAUUGUUUUUCUUUUACCAAUAUUCUGCAAAGUUUUAAAUUAAACAGAACGAAAAUGAAACUUUAUUCAACACUUCUCGUGGCAACAAUUUUAAUUGUUUGUUGGGCAACUGUCGGAGAAGCCCGUCUUGUCGGUCUAAUAAAUAGGAACAAGCGUGAAGGGCCAGCAUAAAAAAUAGGCACAAACGUGCUGCGCCGUAUAAAAAUUAAUUCAUUCAAGUAAUUCGAAUCCUAAAGAAGAAUUUAAUUUUUGUAAGAUGAAAACAAAAUAAAUAAAAUCUGAAUAUUAA